CCAAUAGCGUAUAUUAAAGUUGUUGCAGUUAAAAAGCUCGUAGUUGAAUUUCGGGAUUAGUGCGCCGGUCGUGCCUUCGGUAUGUACUGGUGUUACUGGUUCCUACCUUCUGACGAACCGUCAUGUCAUUAAUUUGGUGUGGCGGGGAAUCAGGACUGUUACUUUGAAAAAAUUAGAGUGUUUAAAGCAGGCUCGCGCUUGAAUACAUUAGCAUGGCAUAAUGAAAUAGGACGUUCGAUCCUAUUUUGUUGGUUUCUAGGAUUGGCGUAAUGAUUAAUAGGGAUAGUUGGGGGCAUUAGUAUUCAAUUGUCAGAGGUGAAAUUCUUGGAUUUAUUGAAGACUAACUACUGCGAAAGCAUUUGCCAAGGAUGUUUUCAUUAAUCAAGAACGAAAGUUAGGGGAUCGAAGACGAUCAGAUACCGUCGUAGUCUUAACCAUAAACUAUGCCGACUAGGGAUCGGAUGAUGUUAUUUUUAAUGACUCAUUCGGCGCCUUACG
rnacentral:rRNA from 1 species